UUCAUGAAGCCGGAAUUGCUAGUAAUGGCAGGUCAGCAUACUGCCGUGAAUACGUUCCCGGGCCUUGUACACACCGCCCGUCACACCAUGAGAGUUGGGAAUACCCGAAGCCUGUGAGCUAACUUUUAGAGGCAGCAGUCGAAGGUAGAAUCAAUGAUUGGGGUGAAGUCGUAACAAGGUACC
rnacentral:rRNA from 1 species